rnacentral:rRNA from 1 species
UACGUAGGUGGCAAGCGUUGUCCGGAAUUAUUGGGCGUAAAGCGCGCGCAGGCGGUCCUUUAAGUCUGAUGUGAAAGCCCACGGCUCAACUGUGGAGGGUCAUUGGAAACUGGGGGACUUGAGUACAGAAGAGAAGAGUGGAAUUCCACGUGUAGCGGUGAAAUGCGUAGAGAUGUGGAGGAACACCAGUGGCGAAGGCGACUCUUUGGUCUGUAACUGACGCUGAGGCGCGAAAGCGUGGGGAGCAAACAGG